rnacentral:rRNA from 1 species
GUCGAACGCUGGCGGCGUGCUUAACACAUGCAAGUCGAACGAAGUGGCGAACGGGUUAGUAACGCGUAAUCAACGUGCCCUUCAGAGGGGGACAACAAUUGGAAACGACUGCUAAUACCGCAUACUCAAGGAGGGGGUUGCGUCUGCUUAGCUAGUUGGAGGGGUAACGGCCCACCAAGGCGAUGAUCAGUAGCGGGUCUGAGAGGAUGAGCGGCCACAUUGGGACUGAGACACGGGCCAGACUCCUACGGGAGGCAGCAGUGGGGAAUAGUGCACAAUGGACGAAAGUCUGACGGAGCAACGCCGCGUGAGUGAUGACGGCCUUCGGGUUGUAAAGCUCUGUAAAUCGGGACGGGUAACCGGAGUAGAAAGACACGGCUAACUACGUGCAAGCCGCCGCGGUAAAU